CUUUUUAAAUUUGUUUAACAUUUUUUUUUUAAUUUUCUAAAAAGUAUUUUAUUUUUUGUACUUUGAUUAUUUAUUUCAUAUUUUUUUAUAUUGUUUUAUUUAAUUUUUAAUUUAAUUUUUUUUAUUUUUUAAUUCUUUAAAUUCAUUAUUAGUGUUUGUAUUUUUCUUUUAAUAAAUAAAUUUUUUGUCAUACAUUUGAUAACUUUUGAAAAUUCAAAAAAUUAUUAAAUAUUUUCUGGUAUUUUUAUGACAUAUUGAAUAUUUUUUAUUUUUCUUACAUAUUUAAAAUAUGUUUUAUUUUUGUUACAUAUUUAAUAUUUUUUAUUUUGUUUUGCAUGUUAUUUUAUUUAUAUUUAUAUUUUUUAUUUUAUUAUUAUUAUUGUUUUUUUUCCUUUUAAUUUUUUUUUUAAUUAUGCUGACGUUUCUCUGACUUUUGAAUUUUCGAUAAAUUUAUUACUCUUCGAUAAACCAGCAAACCUAAAUCCAUACAUAUUUACAUACAUACAAUGAACAAGCAAAUUUAAUUAAAUACGUAUACACACACAUAUACAAUAUUAUACAUAUAAACAAUUAUUUAGGGAAUUAAACAAAUGCGUUAAGUAUACAUAUUAAAAUUGAAACAAAAACAAAAAAGAAGAGACAAGAAAAAUUCUUAAAGUAAUGAAAAAUACAAUUACAAUUAAUCUACAAUUUAAGUACAUAAGUAAUUGAAUUAAAAAUUCGUUGUUGCUAUUUGUGUGUUAAUGUAGUAAAUAAUGAAAAAAUUAUUAUACUAUAAAAAAUAUUUAUAAACAUACUCAAUUAUUCACUGCUCUUUUAAUGCAUACGCACUUAAUAUGUGAACUACAUAGAUUUAUGAUGACAAAUGUUUAAAUUUGAAUGUUGUAAAAAAUGCAACUUUGCGUAUGCAAACUAAGUUGUUUUUGUGACAACUCUAUAACUAUAUUAGAAUUUAGUUACCACUUUACUGCUAUUUCGCAAAGUAUUUAAAUGCAGUUAUGUGUAUUUGCUUUCAAUUGUUGAACAUUAUUGCAUAUUUUAAUAAAAAAAAAGUACACAAUAACAACAACAAAGCUAAAAAAUUGUAUUGUAUGUAUGUAUUAAAAUAGUUGCUUAUAAUAAAGUUAAUUGAAACAGUAUACAUAAAUAUAUAUAAAAUACAAAUUUUUCAUUGCGCGUGCCCGAACAAAGUGAGGUUGGAUGCAGAGAUUCGUGCACAAGGCAAACGAAAUAUAAUUAUUUUUUAUUUCUAUAUUCUAUUAUAUCAUAUGAUUUAGAAAAAAUAUUUUAAUAAAUAGGCAAUUUUUUAGAUUAUGUCAGUUGACAAUCUACGGAUUAUGUCAACUUUAGCAAUCAAUUAAUUGAUAUGCUGCGAAAGAAAUUAAAUUCCACAGUAUUUCUGUUCUCUUAAGCUCUAUCGGCUUAACAUAACUAUUUUCUCGACUUAGUUUAAAAAUAUAUAUCUACAUAUGUACUUGUAUAUUUUUUAUUUUUAUUUUAUAUAAUUUUUUUUAUAUACAUUAUUUUAAUAUAAUUUUUUUUACUAUAAUUUUUUUGUAUAUUUAAUUUUGUUUAUUUAUUUAUUUUCAAUCAAAACUGUUUAUUUUUUAUUUUUUAAUAAUUGUUUGAUAUUUUAAAACUUGAUUUUAACUUAAAAGUUAUUGCUAUUUUAAAUCAAAUUGAUGGCAACUCUAAAAAGUUGUAUUAAAACUGCUAAAGAAUUAUCUGUUUAUUUUAAGUUUUUUAAUAUAUUGCCAACAAAUUUAAUUAAUUAUUUAAUUUAUUGUGUUGAAAAUUGGGGUAACCCUGAAAUAAAAGAAUUGUAGGAAAUAUGAGCAUUAAAAAAUUAUGAAAAAGACAUACUUACAUACAUACAGCGCAUUAAAAUUAAUUUUGUCUUGCAAAAAAAUAUAAAAAUUGAAACAACCAUGCAUAACCUAACUAAGAAAUAACGGUAAGCUACAAAGUAUAUACAACGCAAAUUAACUUGACUACUAGAAUAAGAGCAAACUUUUUAAUGGAGUAAAAACAAUUAGCGUGCUACAGUUAGGUGCAAUUUUAGAACUCUAACGGUUUGUUCGAAGAUUUCAAAUGAAAUUAAAAUAUACAGUUAAAAAAUUAUCGGACUUUAUAGGUUUGCAUAUAACUGUAGGUACAGAACGUAGUAGCGCUUUCGAGGCAUUUGAAUAAUUUGAGGUGAGUUUAGAAAAAUUAAAGUUUUACAAAGUAAAAUUAUAGACAGCAUAAAAAAAACUACAAUUAAACUAUGCGUGCAUUAUCAAUAUGUAUAUGUAUUAAAAAUUUAUAUAUCUUUAAAUUCUCAAAUAAUUAUUGCUAUGCAUAUAACUAGUGUGUUAUUUUUUUGAGUGUAGAAAAAAUUUACUCUGAUCCUUGAUCUUAAAAACUUUAAAAAGCAACGCAAAUCUCAUGAAAAAACUAUAAAAAUACAUAUGUAAAUAUGUAUAGUUAACUAAGUGCUCACCACAUAUACCCUAGAUACAUUAAAACAAAACAUGCCACACAUUACAUAAAAAACUUGCGGUGGGGGAGCAAUAAUCGUUUUUUCGAAGUUAUAAAUGACAUACUUACUGCUUUUAAGAAAAUGCCAAUAAUAUGCCUUAGCUGUUUUUGGUGUUAUUACUUACAAGUGUACGGUGUAGAAUAGAGAAAAUUACCGAAAGACGUGUGAACGAAUGACAAAUUGUAUGGGGAGGCGAACGAAACACAAAUAAAAGAAAAAUAUAAAAUAAAAAAUAACCUAUAAAAUGAUCAUAAUAUAAAAAUAUAAAAAAUGAUAAAAAUAAAAGUAUGAAGCGAACAAAACAUAAGAAUAAAUAUUAAAUAAAAAAAAAUAUUGCAAACUUGCUGCAUAGAAACAUCUAAAACACAAUUGCGUAAAAAAAUUUAGUAGUACUGUUAGAAAAACGCAGAGAAAAGUGCAAAAGUAUAAUUAUUAGUUUUAAAAUAUACAAACAUACAUACUAUUCAGCAAUAAUAUUGAUGAAAAGGAGUCAGCCGCUUUUGGAAACAAAAAAAUAAUAACAUCAAGCAUGUAUUAUUGCUGCUAAAUAAUAUAUGUACAUUUUGAGCUGAGAUUCCAUUAUAAGAGUAAUAAAUAAAAAAUAAUUAUAAAAACAAUCUUUGCAAGUAAACGCGGAAGUAACUAGAAGCAAACUGACAAAGAAAAUAUUGUUUCCCUUUUUGAGUAUGUAACAGUAAACCAAAUUACCUGCUAUUUAUACCGUUAAUAAUUUUGACACUGAAAAACACGCCUGCAAUUUUUGCAACCCUGAUAAAACAAUUUUAAACCAUUUCUUCUAAAAAAUUUUCAUUUUUUUUCCAGUAUUUUGACAAUUUGAACGCAUAAAUUAUAUGGCUUAUAAAGAAAAACUUAGUUGGAAGUUAUUACUGUGUCAAAUGACAACAAAAAGCCGACAAAAACUAAUAUGCAAGUACAUUUUUUUGCAUUUAAUUAUUUUCUGACAGUACUUUAACGCGAAUACUUUGUUGUAUGUACUCGUACAUGGUUGUAUGUAUACGUACGUCACAUGAAAAUCAUGAUUUUUUGCUGACGAAACUGUCAUAAUUUCGCACGUUCGGUAGUAAACUGCAGUUCGAUCUCCGUAAAUAGGACAGUAAACAACUUUUACGUCAUUAUUUAGACUGCAUUUGUUUGGCACAAAUUAGUUUUUUUUUAUAAUUUUCUCAGCGUUACUACUUUCGUAAUACAUUCUUUUUGGUUGCUAUACAAAAAUUGUUAAUAAAAUAUUGCUUUAAAUUUAUUCGUUCAUCUGUAAAAAACCUUUUGACAACGCCGCAUCUGUCAGUUGAUGGAUUAACGCUAUAAUACCAUCACAUUCUUUACUCCUUUAGAAUUUCACUCAAACAAUACAUAAUUCAUAAGCAUUUAAAUAUAUAUUUCAUAUCUAUGUACUUAUGUAUGUAUAACUGAAGUAAAUUUUUUGUGUGUCAAAUUAUUGAGCUCCUCCAUAGUAGCCACCGUACUAAGCAAAAUAAAUAAAUAUAUGAUAUACCAACAUUUAAUGCAAUUAAGGUUUGCAUUAUAAAACACCUUAUAUGAAUCUAUAAUGCAACAUAAAUGAAACAGCAGUGAAUUACGCAAGGAAAUGUUAUGAAUAAAAUAUAUAUUAUAUUAAAUACAAAUUUUGUUAUUUUAUUAAUUGACAUCAUACAGUUCGUAAAGUGACAUUAUGAUGAACUGUUCGCCAAAAUAAGCGCAGUCUUAUUUCUUCAUUUUUGAAAAUAUAUUUACUACAGAGUUCUAAUAGAUUUUACAGCGGCAAUCAUGGUAGAAAGUAAUAUUGUAUUAUAUUUUCUUGCAAUAGAUCACAAAUCAUCACUGCAUUCUUAACCAUUCGCCGGUUAAUUUAACUACUAAAAAUUUAAAUUAUAAACAUUUGCUCUGUCUGACUUUUGUCAAUUUAGUGCGUAGAUAGCCCACUUGUCUGUUUUCGGUGCUGGGCAUUUUCUCUCUAUUUACCUAAUCUUUCACGCUUUUACUACAAUCACUGUAUAUUCCACAAACGCCAAGUCGUCCUGUGCCGAAUGCGCCACCCAAGCUGCCGGAACGACCUUCAUAUUAUGGCAACACCACAAACGGGCGGCCAUACUAAGCAGACAAUGCAAAUGGCGGUUGUGCCAUUUAGAAGUACUCGUAUUGCGAGUGGAUUCCACCGCUUUUGUUGGUGUUCGUAUGCAACAAUAGACACAAUUAGACUUUAAAUAUUAACAAGAAGGUAGCGAAAGCAAAAUAGCGUUUAAAUUGAUAAGAUUGACAAACGCCUAGUUGAACUUAGUGUUUAGCAAAAGUUUAAAAGCGAAAAAAAAAGGAAAUUUGAAAGUAGAAACAGCGCGUAGUUUUUUCUUGUGUGCGCGCACGUUAAAUUUGUAAUUUGUGGCCGUAAUUACAGUUUGUAUGUAUAGUAUGUGGUGUGCACAAUUUUUCAUUUGUAGUUUAAAAUUGUGGUUAUUAGCUGAUUUGUUUAUUGCUCAACAGGCUUUAGUGCAAAAGAAAUUAAAUUUUUAGUCAGCAAAAUGCAUACAACAUUAUCUGUAAUAUUGUUUCCAAACUGUAAAAUGAAUUGUUUUACAAGAAAUGCUGAAUAAAAUACGUAAAGAAAAUAAAAAAUAAAGCUAACCUAACGCUUAAGCGUCUAUUCAAUCGCCUACCCGAAACUAAUACAACAUAAUUUACCAAAAUUGAAUUUUCUUAUUUAAAAAUGCAAACGAAACAUGUAAAUACUUAAAACUUAGUAGCGAAAAUAAAUAAUUUGUAUGCCAGAAUGAUUAAUUAUCAGCUAAGCCACAGCUAAACACUUUGCAGCACACGCUUUCACAACUAAGUUUUCUAUUAAAAUCGAUAUUUUGUAAAUAAAUAAAAAAUAAAAAAUACACAAUACAUAAUUAUAUAUUAAUUACAACUGCACAGCUACGUACAAUUGUUAGCAAACAAAUCGUGAUGAUCAGCUGAUUUAAGUAUUUCUUUUUGAAUUAAAAAUUAAAAUUACUCCACUAUAAAUUUAUAAAUGCUACAAUAAGUGUAGAAAAUUAAAGUAUAACAUUAUAGCGCUUUAAGUAUUGUAACCAUAAUAGUAACAACAGUCAAGCUAAGUUCUGUAUAUUUAAUUAAAAGAAAAAAAAUAAAUGAAUAUAUUAUAAAAUUGUAAAA